rnacentral:lncRNA from 1 species
UUGCUGAAGCAAAGGGAGGGGGAGAGGCUGGAAUCCUUCUUGAAAGACAGCCAUGCUGGGACACGUGAGAUGGUGUUGUUUUGUGAUCGUGAGCCUGGGUCUCCAUUAUGAUUACACUGCAAUGAGUGCCAAGACUGUGCCUGGAAAUUGGAUCAGCUGAGCCUUGAACAGUAGCUGCUGCUUUUCCCAGUGAGUCGGAAGCCAGCCUAUCUCUGCAGAGCUUCACCACCACGCUUGGACCCAGGUGCAGCCCAGACAACACUGAAAGCCCGAAAAUCUGCUGGCAGUGAUAAAUGCUCAUCUCCUUCCCCUUCUGUGCUGUGGUCCUGUUAACCCAGAUUCUGCCAAGGCUUCCAUCACAGAUAGGAAGAAGUCUGGAAAGCCACCUCCAUGCCCUGAUGCAGCACUACAACACGGCCCUGAAGUGGCAGCUGUGAAACGCAGAACAACCAGACAAAGCUGGUAACACAUUUGUACAGCCUGGGGUGUCGGGAGGAAUCAGCUCCACGGAGCAGACAAGGAGACAGAGAAGUGAAGUUUUAGGUUCUCUCCUCGGUUUGCUACAUUGCAAAGCAAGCUGUCCUCAAGUCCUUUGGGAAGCUUUUCUAUGCAACGAUUAUCCCUCUCUUCGAGUCUGAAAGGGAAUUACUGCACAUGAAUCUGGAGAGGUUCAGAGAAGCACUGAAAGGUUCUUGCAUUAGGGACUUCAAAGUGUGACCACCUAACUCCUGCCACCAGAAGCACGGUAAGCUACCUGCCCUUUGUGUUCUAUUUCACUUGAUGUUGGGUGAAUCUGCUCAGUCCAACCCCACUCCUCUCUCCAUUUCCAGCUGCAGAAAACACACUUCAUGUCCCACACCAGCUCCAGGGAUGUGAUUGUGUUGCACUUUCAUCUCAGAAGCUGGCUUAAUUCAGGUUUAUUUCAUUGUCAGAGAGAUAUGCCAAGGCACUUAAUUUCAGUUAGUCCUUAGCAGAAACAUGUUCUCAUGGAAAAUGUUGGCUGGUGGUGCUUGCUCUGCUCGAGGCUGCUGCCCUGGAGAUGACCUCCCUUAUAUCCUCCUCUUAUUUUAAAAUGGCAUCUGGCUGCUCAAAAAACACCAUUUCUUUUCCACUUCCAAAACACCAUGAGUCCAUGAG